rnacentral:rRNA from 1 species
GACGAACGCUGGCGGCGUGCUUAACACAUGCAAGUCGAACCGAAAGGCCCCUUUGGGGGUACUCGAGUGGCGAACGGGUGAGUAACACGUGAGUAACCUGCCCUUGACUUCGGGAUAACUUCAGGAAACUGGGGCUAAUACCGGAUAGGAAUCCUUGCUGCAUGGUGGGGGUUGGAAAGCUUCGGCGGUUUUGGAUGGACUCGCGGCUUAUCAGCUUGUUGGUGGGGUAGUGGCUUACCAAGGCUUUGACGGGUAGCCAGCCUGAGAGGGCGACCGGCCACAUUGGGACUGAGAUACGGCCCAGACUCCUACGGGAGGCAGCAGUGGGGAAUAUUGCACAAUGGGCGGAAGCCUGAUGCAGCAACGCCGCGUGCGGGAUGACGGCCUUCGGGUUGUAAACCGCUUUCAGCAGGGGCGAAGCUUGUGGUGACGGUACCUGCAGAAGAAGCACCGGCUAACUACGUG